rnacentral:rRNA from 1 species
CGUGAGAACGUGCCUUCUGGUUCGGAAUAACCCUGGGAAACUAGGGCUAAUACCGGAUACGCCCUUUUGGGGAAAGGUUUACUGCCGGAAGAUCGGCCCGCGUCUGAUUAGCUAGUUGGUGGGGUAACGGCCUACCAAGGCGACGAUCAGUAGCUGGUCUGAGAGGAUGAUCAGCCACACUGGGACUGAGACACGGCCCAGACUCCUACGGGAGGCAGCAGUGGGGAAUAUUGGACAAUGGGCGCAAGCCUGAUCCAGCCAUGCCGCGUGAGUGAUGAAGGCCUUAGGGUUGUAAAGCUCUUUUAUCCGGGACGAUAAUGACGGUACCGGAGGAAUAAGCCCCGGCUAACUUCGUGCCAGCAGCCGCGGUAAUACGAAGGGGGCUAGCGUUGCUCGGAAUCACUGGGCGUAAAGGGCGCGUAGGCGGCGUUUUAAGUCGGGGGUGAAAGCCUGUGGCUCAACCACAGAAUGGCCUUCGAUACUGGGACGCUUGUCUAAUACGACUCACGAUAGGGCGAAUUGAAUUUAGCGGCCGCGACUUCACCCUUGGGACGGGUGAGUAAGGCGUGAUAAUGGGAUCCGAUACCCCAGUAGUCACGGACGGGUGAGUAACGCGUCAAUGGGAUUAGAUACCCACAGUAGUC